GAAAGAUAGACACAAAGGUAGGCAUAACUGUAAACACAAAGGUAGACAUAAAGGUAAACAUAAAGGUAGACAUAAAGGAAGACACAAAUGUAGACAUAAAGGUAAACAUAAAGGUAGACACAAAGGUAGGCAUAAAUGUAAACACAAAGGUAUACAUAAAGGUAGACAUAAAGGUAGACAUAAAGGUAAACAUAAAGGUAGACAUAAAGGAAGACA